GGACUACCGGGGUUUCUAAUCCUGUUCGCUCCCCACGCUGUCGUGCCUCAGCGUCAGUAACAGCCUAGUCAGCUGCCUUCGCAAUCGGGGUUCUGGACCGUAUCUAUGCAUUUCACCGCUACUCGGUCCAUUCCGCCAACCUCGUCUGUACUCAAGCCUCACAGUAUCCAGGGCAGUUCCGUUGUUAAGCAACGGGCUUUCACCCCGGACUUAUCAGGCCGCCUACGCACCCUUUAAACCCAAUAAAUCCGGACAACGCUCGCACCCUCCGUAUUACCGCGGCUGCUGGCAC
rnacentral:rRNA from 1 species